UACGUAGGUGGCAAGCGUUGUCCGGAUUUACUGGGCGUAAAGAGCGCGCAGGCGGUCGUUCAAGUCGCGUGUGAAAGCCCCCGGCUCAACUGGGGAGGGUCACGCGAUACUGAUCGACUCGAAGGCAGGAGAGGGAAGUGGAAUUCCCGGUGUAGUGGUGAAAUGCGUAGAUAUCGGGAGGAACACCAGUGGCGAAGGCGACUAUCUGGGUUGUAACUGACGCUGAGGCGCGAAGGCUAGGGGAGCGAACAGG
rnacentral:rRNA from 1 species